AUCUAACUCUGGCUUAGAUAAAUUACAUCUCUAACUCUGUCAGCCAUGAAAGAUUGAAAAAAGCAUAACCGAGAUAUGUGAGUUCCAUGAAAUUCUAAACAGCUUGCCUCCCAUAAGGGUGAGCUUCAAUGGAAGCUUCCUGAUUGCUUGCAAAGACACAGAUUGUCUAAAUCUUUCUGUUGCAGCAGUAUCCCUUCCCUUCAACAACGGACCUCCCGCCAGCCUGACUUCUAUGAUUCUGCCAUUCUAACUUCGUAUGCCAGUUCUUCUGUUGGAGCAAAGGAAUUGGGGGAAGAAAAGCAUCUCAGUUAAAACUGGGAUACCCUCAGAAGCUUCAUUUCCAAGACUUUUAUCUGAUGAGCACCCGGAUGCCAACAGCUUGCCUGGUGCUCUGUGGCCCUGAGGGAAGCACGCUGGAUGCACCUGUGUCAAGCACUCUGGGAUUU